UGUUUUAACACUUUAUUCAGAUAGUAAGGAAAUGAGAGAAACGACAGAACCACAGCUCUGCACAAAAACAUGUUUCUUUACCAUACGUGCAUUCAAGCCCCUAAAAACAUGAUACGUUUGAUUUGAUUGAUAUUAAAACAUGAAGUGUCGAUGAGAACUGGACUUCUGAUAGGCCGGUAGUCUGAGGUUUUCAUGUCAUAUCUCUACCUCUAAACGUCCUCUCAGCAAAACAUGGUGUAAAAUAGAUAGCCAAUACAAGAAAAUAGUGUGUGUGUGUGUGUAUGUGUGUGUGUGUGUGUGUGUGUGUGUGUGUGUGUGUGUGUGUGUGUGUGUGUGUGUCGGAGGGAGAAGAAAGCAGGCCCAUAAAUCCUAGUGCUAUCAGUGGUCCAGUCUCAACCACCCUCGUGUUCCUUUAUUGAAUGUUAUUGUAGCCGGACAGACCCCUAGAUGAUAUUUCCUGGUCCCAAAUCAAGAUCAGAGACAGGGGGAGGCAGGAGGAGGAUGGAAGGAAAAAAUGAGAGAUGGAGGAUGAGGAAGAAGGGAUGAGGGUUGGAGGGUUGGGGGUGGUGGAUUUAGGCACAAAGACCAUUUCAAAGAAAAGGAGAAAGGGAACGAUUUAAAGAAUUCCUGUUAGGGAAUACAAAAUGGGAAUCCAGGGGGUGUGAGGAGAGGUGGGAGAUGGGAGAUGGGGUCAUCCCACUGGUGUGUAUGAAGCAAAACGUCUAUGGUCUCGGAAAGUAGAUGUGGAUGACUAAAUCAGUUGGUUGGAAAAAGGAGGAGUGAGAAAAGAAAAUGUUUGACAAUAAAAACAUUAUAUUCUGAGUUUGUGUCACGGGUCAGCUUGAGCUAACCCACACGAGUAAACAAAUAAAAUAACCAGUGAUGAUGUCGGUGAUAAUGUAUUGAAACAAUGAGUGUGAAUCAAGGGGGUGGAAUACAACUAGAGUGAAUUCAUUUUUCCACCGCCUGGAAUGAUUCAGAUAAUGUUACACUAUGUACUUGUAACAUAAUAGGCCAACGUUUGAGCUGAGUACCUGUGUGUUUCUGCUGUACAUACAGGACAUAAGUGUUUGCUUUGGUUAAAACCCCUAGUGGAUUUUGCUGAUCUUUUGUUCGUCCCAUGCUGUAUUCUUACUGUAAUUGUAUUGGUGUAUAUAGUAUGUAUGUGAGCCCUUCACGGUUUGUGUGGGAGGUGUGCACAGUCUGUCCUGUUCUCAAUUGAAUUUGCUCAACUCCUGUGUUCUCUCUUCUCCGUCCUGUCUAAAAUCCUUUCGAAAAAGGUCAAAGGUAAUCGAGCCAGUGAGGAGAAGGAACGUGGACGAAAAUGAGCUUGUAUGAAAUUAGACUCUUCUACACUCGCGCAUCAGGCAAAUGAAGUUUACAGGGGUAGAUCUCGAAACAAAUGAAGUUUACAAUGGUGGAUCCCAAAACAAAUGAAGUUUACAAUGGUGGAUCCCAAAACAAACGAAGUUUACAGGGGUGGAUCCCAAAACAAAUGAAGUUUACAAUGGUGGAUCCCAAAACAAAUGAAGUUUACAAUGGUGGAUCCCAAAACAAAUGAAGUUUACAGGGGUGAAUCCCAAAACAA
ensembl:lncRNA